CCUACGGGCGGCAGCAGUGGGGGAUAUUGGACAAUGGGGGGAACCCUGAUCCAGCGACGCCGCGUGAGUGAAGAAGUAUUUCGGUAUGUAAAGCUCUGUCAGCAGGGAAGAAAGCAAUGACGGUACCUGACCAAGAAGCCCCGGCUAACUACGUGCCAGCAGCCGCGGUAAUACGUAGGGGGCAAGCGUUAUCCGGAAUUACUGGGUGUAAAGGGAGCGUAGACGGCUGUGGAAGUCUGGAGUGAAAGGCGGGGGCCCAACCCCCGGACUGCUCUGGAAACUGUAUGGCUGGAGUGCAGGAGAGGUAAGCGGAAUGCGUGGUGUAGCGGUGAAAUGCGUAGAUAUAUGGAAGAACACCAGUGGCGAAGGCGGCUCUCUGGUCUGUAACUGACGCUGAGGUUCGAAAGCGUGGGUAGCAAACAGGAUUAGAUACCCUGGUAGUC
rnacentral:rRNA from 1 species